UUUUUUUCCCUAUUCCCAACCCACUUCUCUUUCUUCUACAGGGGAGGAGAAAAGGGAAAGUUUCCCAUAAUAAUCAGUAAUUGAAACCCUUGAAGGAAACUAAGGAUUUUCAGAGGUGAAGGGAAAAAAACUGAGGACCAGAAUGGGAACUGUCUCUAUGAAUCCAGACUGUAAAGAGUGGAGUCAUCUGCCCAUUGGAAGCACUUGGAAGAGGUGCCACUGAUUAGCUAUUGAUUAAUUUCAUGUCCAAAGGUCUUUCUGGAAGAGAAAAUAGAAGUGAAAUAAGAAAAAAGAAACUACUUUCUGGAUUGUACAGAUUUUCAAGGAGGACCAGCUUCUCUGAUUCUAAAUAUCAUUGUGGCAGAGAAAAGAGGAGCAACACAAAGAGAUGAGAAGCUAUGAUUUUUCUAUCAUUAGUUUUUAUACUACAAUCAAUCCAAAACAGAGAUCAUAUCCCUUCUUUAACCCUCUUUUCCUCAAUAUAGCUAAAAUUUGUUCUUCGA
rnacentral:lncRNA from 1 species